GGCUUUCUAAUAAAAUAAGGUGGUUAAGUGUUCAUUAAAAAUAAAUAUAUAUAAAAGUGCUGCUUUAUCCGACAAUAACGUGCAGGGUGUCAUAGAACUACAUUUAAAUAAAUUAAAUGUAUAGAUUUAAGUUAUUUAUUUAUAUAAUGUUCUAAUUUUAUAUGAUUAUUUAUGUAAAUUCUGCGUGACUGUGACGUGUUUUAAUGCGUGCGUGCUGAACGUUCGAACCGCGUUGGUUCAAACACUGGAGCGGAGGGAGUUGCCAUGGAAACGGAGCGGCAACACAACGACUGACAAGCAGGAAGCUCCGUUUCUCGCUGUUGUUUUCGAAGAAAAACAAAAACACGGCAAGAUGGGAUGGCUCCAAGAUUUCACAAUUUCUGAAGGGAGCCGAGACGGAGAAGUAAGGAACACAAGUGAACAGACUCAGAGCGGACCUCCUGUCGGACAACAUCUCCCAGGCACAAUGAACAAUAUGGUUGGCAAGAACUUGUCAACAAAUCUACCGCACAGCGCAUCAAUGAAAGCAGUUUGACAAUUACAGACGGGUGUGUUGGAUCAGGGUUAGAUCUGAAUUCUGCAGGUUUUCUGGAUUCCCAGUUGAAGACAUCAGUACAUCAGAUGUUGGCCUGGACAGCUGUAUCUACAGUACACCACACUGACCUCUGCUUUUGCAUAGAUGGCUGACUAACUCAAGUUCAGAGGCCAAGCGGGCUGCAUUUAAACUACAUAUUGCUAUAAUAUAAUAUAAUAUAAACCACAAAUUACAAUUUGCAUCAUCAGAUUUUAAGACAAUAUUUGCAGAUUUACUGAUUUAGAAAUACAGUUUAUUACUUAUCUAAGUCUUGCUUGUCCUUGUCCUAUUUAAAAUAAGACUGAGCAUGAAAUAAAUAUCAAUAAAUAUAUAUAUUUUUUUAAAGAGUAAAAAUCUGGAACAAAAAAUUGGAUUAAAAGUUUGUUUUGCUAUAUUGAACAGAGUAGCCUAUUGAACAAACUCAAAAUGCUAAAACUAAAAACAUUCUUGAGCAAACAUAGUUCACAAAGUACUUUAGGAAGAAGUAUUAUUAUUUUUCAUAUUUAUAUUUUUAAAAUAGAUAUCACUAUUCUCCCACCAUGAUUCUGAAAAAUGUAAUUUACUAGAGUUUCUAGAAAAAAAAUUGCUGCUGUCUAUUUAUAGAAUACAAUAUUCAACGAACUGAUAAAGUGAAACAAAUGAUUCAUAACUCAUAACUUCAUGACUUGCUCAUGAAGACUUCACUUUCCGACACUUUUCCACAUUCCGAAUGAAUCAAUGUUUUUUGAACGAAUCUCAGUUUAAGUCACUUGUCUCCACCUGCUGGCGUUAUGUUGUAAUUGAUACAAUCUUUAUUAGAAUAAAUAACCUUUUUGAAAGUGAAGAUGCUUCAAUUUUGAUCGCUUCUGUAUAACGAUACAAAAGACUUUGUAAAGAUGUUUCACAUAAGUAAACUGCUCUCUGGAUCAGCGCGAACGCAGAUUUGAAUGUUACAUUGUGAUUUAAGGCUUUAAUAGACAUAUGAAUCCUGUCAUUUAUGAACAAGAUUGCGUGGGUGAUUGAAUCUGUUCGCGAUCUGACUAUUUAUUUAAAUAUCCAACAGUAUACGACAAUAAACAUACGACGCGAUAUGGUUUAACUGUGUUCUUCAAGCCAUCUUUGGUAUUUUCAUAAUAAAGUAUAUUUAUAAUCCAAUGAUAAUUGACAUUGGCUUUACUGUAUAGUAGGGGUGGGAGAAAAAAAUCGAUUCUCCGAUGCAUCGCGAUUCUCUCUUCAACGAUUCUGAAUCGAUUCAGAAUAUUUCAGAAUCGAUUCUUAGCUUGUUUAUUUUUCCCGCAUAUGGCACGUGUCCGCGCUAGAGAUGCGGUGGACUUCAUUGCACAGAAUUUGUGCUGUGAGACAGACUUUCACGUGCGCUUUGUGUUUGUUUGUCCUGAAGCUCGAUUGCGGCUGCGGUUAAAUGCACUUGCAUUUUCGAAUACUUUUAUACGAAAUUGAUGUACACACAGUCAAGUUAUGUUUUCAGAGCAGGACAAAACAUCUGCUAUAUCGAAAUAGAUCUGUGCAUUAACUAGCAGUCAUUAGAGUAUUAGUAGUAUGUCUGCUAAAUAUAUGCUAACACUUUCUUUUGAUGAUUCCCCAACAGACAAACUGACUAAAAGUAACUUUGCAAGUACGUCAACAUUCUACCGACCCUAACCUUAACCUGAGCCUACUAAUACUCUAAUGAGAGUUAGUUGACAUGUAGUUGCAAAGUUGCUUAUAGUCAAUAGACUAAGAGGACCAUCAAAAUAAAAUGUAAUCCAACAAAUAAACACUGCAUUUUUUUUCAGUUGAAAUUAUUAAUUAGCUCACAUUAAAAUUAAUAUUAGCCUCACAGGGAACACUCAAAUAACACUCCACACCUAACCACUUACAAGAUGUACUGUAGUAAGAUACUAUGUAGAUCUUAAAUAAUGUCAAGAUAUAUAGUCCAUUAUAAAUGUAAAAGUAGAUUUAAUAUGGUGUUCAUUGUGUUAUAAAUAAUCUUUAAUCUUAAAAGUUAUAACCACAAAUGCAUAAGCAUUAUAAUGUAUUGUAAUUGUUAUUAUGAUUAUUUAUAAGACGAUAUAACAUAUUAUAAGGUUUUUUAUAAUGCAUUAUGCAUUCAUUAUAAUGCCUUAAGAAUAUCCUUAUAAUGUAUUAUAAAUAUGGGUUUCAAAGAAAGUGUUACUGUAAUUUUAUUUAAUUUUUUUAAAGUAGCCUGCUUAUAUAAUAAUAAAAAAAUAAAAUAAAGUAAAUUUUGAACAAAAUAAAAUUGAUAUGAAAAUGUAGCCGUGUGCAGUAAUAUUGAAAACUGAGAAUGUGACGCAUCGUGAUAUUAAGUUGAUAAUGAUAAUUGUAAUUGAAUUGAAUCAUGAAACCAGUGAAGAUUUACACCCUUAUUUUUAAGAUGGCAGUACUGACACACAGAGAUUCCAACUAUAAACAAAAAGCAUGGAAACUGCAAUUUUGGUUAAGAUGUAAAGUUGUAAAGAUUAAUUGGGGAAAAAAUGUAGAUCAAGAAUCGUUUUGGAAUCGGAUCGUGAAGCGCCUGAAGAUUCCCAGCCCUACCGUAUAGAAUAUAUUAUCUUCCUCGUUCUGUGACAAAAACCGCACAUCAGCUCACAAAAUGAAGUCAUUUCAAAAACUCGACUGAUGUUGUGGAGUAAAAUCAUGUUGUCCUCUUUUGUUGGACAACGCUUCUCUUUUAAGUUGUUUGGGGCGUGCCGCGCGUGGUUAGUUACAGCGCUUAGAGAUCGAGCAGCUUUUACUACUGUGAUUGUAUAGGUUACAUUUAAUUUAUAAAAAAAUCAAACUGCCUAAUAUUUUGAGCGCAACCUGUAAUAAAAAUACAUUAAUCUUCAGCAUGACGCAGGCCACAAAUUUAAUGCGGACGGGCCACCUGUUGAGUACCCCUGUCUAAGGUAUUAUAGCAAAACUGAGCACCUGUGACAGUGGAAUUUGUAGGUGUAAAGAAUAGUCACACGUGCGUAUUACAGGUAGUAAAUUUACAGUCGCAGAGAAAAGUGUUUUUUUUGUUUGUUUUUUUUUAGGAGUUCCAAAUGUUUUUUUUACUCUUUCUCUCUAACGAACACAACACAACAGUUACAUCAUUUCAAAUUCUGAGAUUCAAAUCAUAUUCUACAAAUCACAAAUUAAGAAACUUAUGUGAAUGUGGGGCAAAACACAUUCACACACCCGAAUCAAAAAUGUGAAGUCAUGAACAAAUUUUGCACAUUUGCAUAUAUAAAGUCAUAGUCAGAACUAUUGGCACCCUUGGUAAAUAUGAACAAAAGUCUGUAAAAAUAAAUCUGCAUUGUCAAUCCUUUUUAAUAAAAGAUCAAAAAGUGGGUGGGGGGAAGCUCAUUAGGAGUAAUUUUUUUUCUCUCUAAUACACAUUGGCCGCAGUUAAUGGCACCCUUUUAUUCAGUACUUUUUGCAAUCUCCUUUUGCCACAAUAACAGCUCUGAGUCUCUCCUAUAAUGCCUGGUGAGUUUGGAGCUCACCUGACAAGAGAUCUUUGGAGAGUCUUUGGCCACUCAAACCAUCCUCCUCACCUUGCAUAUAGACACACAUCCUCUUCGAGGCAGAUCUGUGGCAUUUUAAACAGUACAGAUUUAUUUUUACAGACUUCUUCGAUCAUAUUAACUAAGGGUGCCAAUAAUUCUGACCACAACUGUAAAGUAGAACUUUUAUGUGAGAUCUCACAUGACAUCAGAAUGUGAGAUCCCACUUGCACGCUUGAUUAGAAUUUGAAAUUCGAUCAAACUGAAUAGAAUUGAACUGAAUAGAAUAGGUAAGUGAUAGCAUUAAUUGGUCAGGUGUUGAUGAAAAAGAUGUGUCUUUAGACGUUUUUUGAAAAUGGCUAAAGACUCGAAGCUAAAGCUGCUUGAAUUGAGAUGGGCAGGUCAUUCCAACAUGAACUUAUCUACAAAUACCACAGUUAAAUUCUGGAAAAAUGAAAUAUAGCCCUGCAUAAAUCUGGUAUAACAGCCUGUGAAUUUCGUAAUUUGUAGAAUAGGAUUUAUGCACCUGCAGUGAAGAUUUUGAGAAGGUUUUGUUGGUUUGAGAGAGAAAGAAGCUAAAUACAAGUUUGCAAUUCCUAAAACAUUUUCUUGAUGACUUUACUGAAAUAUUCUCUACAAAUACAAAUUCCACGGUCGCAGGUGCUCAGUUUUGCUACAAUAAUUCUAGACACAAUAGACAUGUACUCUAUGCAAAUAUAAAAAAGGGACAUAAACAACUGAAUAUUCAGGGAUGCAAACGUAUCACCUUUAAGUGAAAAUUGUAAUUUUGAAUCUAAAAUAGAUCAUUUGCGUGAUUUGUGUAGAUCCAGAGUUUUUAAAAGUGUGAGUAGUAAGUAGUAAAAGUAGUAUUGACUCGUUUUAGAUACCUGCUGAAAUUGACUUCUUUCAAAUGCUCCUGUGUGUAUAUUUGUGGUUUGGAAUUAGUCAAAUGUGCUUAGAAAAAAAAAUAUAUAAUCCGAAUAUUGACUGGUUAUCGACUAUAAUGCACGCUCUGCAUAAUCCAUUCACAAUUGGAAUAGUGACAACUGUAUUUACCCAAUUACAGGAGUCAAUCUGCUGAAACAUUCUGCGAGUCACUUCUUAAACUGCUAUGAUUGAGAUAAUAGACUAAUAGACUAGCAAAAGCAAAAUUUAGCAGCUUCAACAUUUAGAUAAAAACUUAAAGCACUUUUUUCAUGUAGUUUUUUUGUUUAAAAUAGACCUAUAUGAUGUGACAGAAAUCGUCCACUAAAUAGCAGAUGGCAUAUUUUACAUGUUAUUUCCAUUAAUGAAGAUUAGAAAUGUACAUUUUACAUAAAAUGUUGUCAUUUUAUAUGAAAAUAUACAAAAUAUAAUAUUUUUGAUGCAAAUAAUUAAAAAAAAUACGUUUCACGUCGGAUCAACACCCCGAUGAGCAAACUGAUGCCGGAUCGACGUCGGAGAUCAACGUCGUUUCGACGCCACGAGAAACAUCGAUUCUACGUUGAUUCGAUGUUAGUUUGCUAUUGUUUGCCAAAUGAAUGUCGGAGCCGUCGCAUUUGACCUUUCCAGCACACCGUCACAUCUCACUCGACGUGGAGGUAAGUUACGUGUUACAGUGUGCUCACUUUCAGUUUUAUAAAUAAGUUUAUUAACUUUUAAUUGUUGUUGAUGCGGUGUAUUUGUUACUGCGCGUGCCGUAAAGCAUCCGGCAUGUUAAUGUUACUGAGGUGAUGUUAAGCAGCUGUGAUACCGUUAAAUCCUAAGUGUCGUACAACGGUGUUUAAAGCGCUGUGUCCUGUGUGCCUCCAACAGAAGAUGCCAUUACGACUUUUUUUUUUUUUAUUCUUUAAAAGAGAUUAUACGACUAGGUGAAGAUCUGAUGUCGCGGAAUUCUUCAAGGAUAACGCAACUUUUCUGCCAAACGAGGUAGGUUUAGACAUUUUAUUGUCUUGUUUGUUACACACACACGCACGAGAAGUUUGUUCGGUAACGUUACUGGCACGCUGUCGGUGAACGCACACGCUUCAGACACGCGUCAGGAGCGCAUCGAGUUCUCUCGCACUUAUACGGACAAAAGCACACAAAAUUAUGUCAAAAUGACCAUUUUGUGGCUAGUGACAGUUUUAAAUAAGUUAAAAUGCCUUGACUGAUGUAAAGUUGGGAUGUGUCAGAUGUGCGUCGAUGUGAGUCAUGGUUUAAAGGGACAGCAGUUCAUGACAUUCAUUGUUUCUUCUGUUUUCUUUUCUAAUGACAGGUCGUAAUUGCUGCUGUAUUGUGCAUCCCAAGUACCCCCUGCAUUCUUAUCAAGGAUUGCUGUCAUUCAAGAACUCAUUUCCUCCCCCAUUGUGGCUGAGCUACACAUUCUCUUCAUUUUAUUUUAAACAGAAAACAUUCAGAGGAGAUGGCACCUACGUUGGAAUUCAUACAAAUUCUUCCUGUGAAGAAAUCCGGAACGAGGGUCGACGGUUCAGAUGAAGGGAACCGAUGCUUCCAAGACUCAUGUAUGAACAACUUUGAGAACUUUUGUUCUGCCUGGUGCCGUUUAAAACUAAAACACAUUGUUAAAUUAAUUGAUGUAAUAAUAUUUUUGUCUUCACCUGUUAAAAGCAAAUAAAAGCUACUGAACGCACUUUUAAGAAUGUUUACAU